AACCUUUUUCAUCUGUGAAAGGGCAGAUGCUGUCCCUGGGAGCAAAACUGCUACUGCAUCAGUACAGUUCUAGAAAGUGAAUUGAUCCAGCAAUACUUGUCUUACUUCCAUAUGAGAGGACAAUUUUAAAAGUCAAAGGCAUCUUCUUUAAUGCCCACCUAUUUAUCAGAGUGGUUUCAGCCAGGGCAGUUCCUAUGCAGAUCUGCUUUCAGAGACAGCCUCACACCCUCUUCACCAUCCAGGAAAAAGCUCUGAGUGAGGAUGAACUGCAGAUAAGGAUUUCACAGUUGGCUGGUUUAUCUCAGUCAGGCUAUGAUGCCUGUCCACCUGAUGGAUUGCCAGAAACCUGCCAUCAGUCAAGAGAGGAGAACAGCAAAAAUGAGGAGGCGGUGACAAAGCCUGGGACUUGUUGGAGGCACCAUUUCUGUGUGGUUCUGCUGGAUGGAAGACCUUAAGAACUAAGGAAUCCCCAAAACACCGCCUGGGCUUGAGGAUGAUGGAGGCAGACUGACACUGCAGUGGAAGAUUCCCAUUGACCUGUGUGUUGACAAUAGAACUGAGAGUCCAGGCGUGUGUGUGGUGCUGACAGGCAAAUGUAUUAAUAAGACAGAAAUGAAUGCAGUGACAGAGCUACAGGAGGCUUCACAAGCUUCAGUUGGUCUUGAAGCCUCAGUUCCUGGAACCCUGUGAUUAUGCCAGGCUCGCUCCUUGCUUUAGUUGAAAAAAGUGCAGGCCAGGGCACAGUUCGCUCUGUGUUGUGCUCUGCCAGCUCCUUCAGCUUUGUGUCCAGCUGUCAUCCCCAGGGCUUCUCCACCCAGGACUGCCUGUGCUCUGAGGGCUCACAGCUUCUGCGUGGUGUGAAACCUGGUUCCCUCCUCUUACCUCUCCACUGGGCACGGGGCUUGCAGCCACACCAGGAGCCCUCUGCCUGCUCGGUCUCAGCUCAGCAGCUCUCGGCAGCAAGAACCACCCAUGGUCAAGCCCUGUCCUGUGGGAAUCACUGCCAGAGUCAGAGAGGUGAGGGAGAGCGUGCCAGCAAAGAUUCCUGCGAGGAAACAAAGCUGGUGCUUGUCGUGCAGGCAAGGUGCUGGGCCUGAGCUGAUCUGUGAGUGUGCUGACAGAUGGCCUGACUUGAAAUACUCUCUCCAAAUUCCAUUAAGCCCCGGGAAGGCAGCGGGCAGCUCACAGCCGUGAGGAAGACAUCAUCUAGAAGAACACCUUAUUCUCAGGUGUAGAUCUUCUCUUGACCAGACCAUACUCAGAUUUGGCAAUAGUGGUCCCGUGAGGCUGGAGUGUUGGCAGGUCAAAUCCUGAUCACCCUGAGCACCUGUGUUAUUCUGGGGUCCUAGGACCGGCUCCUCUCAUUUUCACUGCUGCAAGGGAAGGACUGGGCACUUCAUUUGCAGUCCAAAUGCAGAGCCUUGGCAGUCUUCCAGAGCUGAGAUUUUGCCCAUGUGGGUUUCCUGUGCUUGAUUAAAUCACAAUAUUUCCUCUGGCUCUGAAGCCAGAAAUCACCAUUAGCUCUUCAAGACUGGCCACCUGCAUAGUCCAAGAUCAGGGACUCCCUUCCAAUGGCUUCCGCUUUGUGCCUGAAAGCUUCUGGUGGAGCUGUGAUUUCCUUGUCAGAAGACAACUCAUCUUUGUAUAGAUGUUACUUGUGAUGGCAAACACUUAUGCUGUGGUUGUCUUUCCAGGUGUUUUAAGCAUCCCUUAAUGUUAAGAGUCUGCUCCCCCAGUGUGCUUGGUGAGUCUUGUUUGGCAUUACUUCUCUUUCAUGGUCUUUUAUUGCUUGUGGGCACUUUGUUAUGACACCUAGCAGCUGUCUUCUUCACAGAGUUUGGAUCCUUCCUAGUCCCCAUGGACGCAGAUGGUUGGUUGAUGAUGUGCCCUGAGCUCACCAUUCUGCCCACAUCUCACUGAAGAUAUUUAGAAAAGAAAAUAAUCCUCAGUGGAUAGCAAGAUGUGUCUGCAUUCAUUUCGUUCAUUCAUUCUGUUUUCAUAGCACAAAAUUGAGAGCGUGUGGUUUGUAGAACACUGUGAGGAAGUACAGCCUGUUGGGACAGUGUCAGAGGAGCACACAGGUCCCAGAGCCUGAAGUGACCUUGCCCAUAGAGGUGUUGGGAGUGGUCACUGGUGGGUGCUGUCCUUUGAACCACGUCAUUGGGAACGCCGCAGUUGGAAUGGGCCAAAAUCACACCUGUAGUGUAAGAAUGGUUGGGUUGUUUGCAUGAUGGGGUCUCUGGAGUUUAUCUUUCUCCCUGACUCUGUUUUGUAUAAAACUCUAGACACCACAUUAGAAGUGGGGGUAAAAUUUAGCCCAUGGGAUGGAUUAUCCCUUGGCUCUUUACUACCAGGCUUCACCCAACUUUGUCUUAAGCACUUGGCGGUGGCAGUGCUCUGAAGGAGGUCUCUCAGCAGAUGGAGCUGGGGGCUGAGCAAAAUUGAAAAUCCAUAUGUUUUUGACUUGGCCCUACCCAGAAAUGUGAAAAAUUGCCAGGGCUGUGCAUCAACUGUGUUUUUUCCAGCUAAAAUUCUCUCUGUGUUCUCUCUGAAAGGACUGCGUGUCCUUUCAGAGAUGCAUAAAACUUUCCUGAAAGUGCCAUAACAACUGGGACAUCAGGCAAAGGACAGGACCUGCCUGUCUGGUAGCUCACAGCUGUCACACAUGGCUGUGUUGGUUUUGAUGUAAGGCUUGUUGAGCACAGAUAUGAGGACAAGCAGAGCCAGACCAUAUCUCUAUUGUAUUUGGCUGCCAAAGUGCUUUCAGCCCAUCUGAGGGUAAAAGAAGGACCCUAGUUUUCUCACUGCCUGUGAGUUACUGUAUGAGUGACUAGGAAAUUCUUAGCUCUGUCUGACAAAAUGUCCUGAGCUAGAGAGGAAAAAACUGGCAUGGUUCUGGCCUGCCCCUUUGUAGGUUGUUACUUGGUUCCUCACUGUGGUUUUCCUUCCUCUACAGUUUUCUGCACUAAUUUUGUAAUAACAGUUAGCGCUGGAUUUCAUAACACAGACAUACAACAUGCAAUUAGAAAUUGCUUUGUGUGAAAUAAAGUAGCUGUGAGUCAUAUCCAGACAAGUGAAUUAUCUGUGAUUAUUCAGCCAAGAAGGGAGAGAGUGGUAAGCAGAGGAAUGCACAGCAAGGGCUACACAGUAUUAUUAACAUUUCCAUACUAUUAGGAAGCGUAAGGAAGAAAGCAGUAUUAUAUACUAUGGCAGGGUUUUUUGGGAUGUCUGUGUAUAAACAUCCAUGGGAUCAUGUCCUCAUGGGGAGGAACAGGUGAUUUUCUUCUGAUCCUAAGAGUUGUGCAUCCAAAGGAUGAGCCAGUGACAUUGCGAGGUCUUUCCCUGUCUCUAAAAAGAAAAAAAAGGGGGUAGGGGAAGAUACGUAUAUAUCUUUUAGAAUUCUAAAUUUAUGUGAAGCAAAUCUUGUAUAUGAGGACACAGCCUAAUGGAGAACUAAGAUUUCUUCAAAGGGAGAUGGAAAAAAUAAAUUACCAGCACAGCUCUUGUUUGAUGUAUCUAUUGGAUUGGCUUCUUUUUGUCCUCUGGGAAUGAAAGGUCAUAUUAUGAAGGGGCUUUGGCUGUGCCGAAACAGCUGGGAAACCUUUUGGAGGGAGGGGUUGCUGGCUUUGUGAAACAAGGUGGCUUUUGCAGUGCUCUCCCAGUGUGUUAUUUAUUGCCAGGUAGGCAGCUUAGGAGCUGGGUCUGCAGUCCGGGGCGCAGGCAGGGGGCAGUUUGCAUUUCCUGAGUGUCAGGGAAUCAGCCAGUGAGAGAGACAGUGACAGCAGGGGACAGUGUGGGCAGGGAGCGUGCCAGCUGCUGGCUCUGCACAGUUGCACACUUGUCGUGGGAAGGGUGAUCCCUUUUGGAGGUGUGCCUUGAAACUGGAGGUCCUUCUGCAAGGUGAGAGGUACCAGGAAGAGACUGACAGCACUUGCUAAAGAGCAUCUUUACAGUCCUUUGGGCAUUGCUCCGACUGCCCAAAGAAGUUUGUUUUCCAUCCAUUGCAGAGAAUCAGUUGACCCUUCCCCAGCCAGUCACAAAUGCCUCCAUCUGUAAAAUGACAGUGAGAUAUGCUUAAUCUUCCAAGAUGAAUCUAACAGAUGCUUCUCCCAGGAAAUGAACUAAAGGUUGCAGCUUUGCUUGAGCGAUUGUGAGUCAGGGCCUACAAAAGCAGCCGAGCAUCCUGCUUUAGGAAGCCGCUGGAGCGUGGUCUGUAGGAAGAGCUCCUAUCCUUUACCAGGCUGACAGAUACACCAGGGAGGGGCCAGACAGGCUUGCCAGCACACAAGUCCAUUCCCAGGUCAGGCAUGAAGAUGCUUCUUCCAAGCAGAGGAGAUCCCUGCCCUCUCCCCACACUGACUGAGAAAGCUGUAGCUCAUCCCUGGGACCAUUUCACAUUUGUCAUUCUGACAGCCAGAGAGCUGCAUCAUGUUUGGAUCCUCUCAUAGCCACACGGUUGUGCAUGUCCCUGACCUGAGCAAGCAUGUUAUCUUUUGCACCAGCUACUCACAAACUGACUUUCACCUGUGGAUUUGUGCCUGGCACAGCCAAGGUUUCAAAAUCAUCAGGAGAAUGACGGGCCAAAAUGUGACCAAGAUUGAGAAGUUUGCCCUUGUACCCCUGUGCCAUGGCGCAGAUAAGAAAUGCCAACUUUUUGAGGGCCAUAAAUCUGCAUAGCCAGAAUGAAGGAAUAGCAUAGAGGAGAGUCUGUUUGGGCUCAAGAAUCUCUUCCAAAAGUGUUCUUGAUUUGAAGAGCUAAAGCAUUUACUGUGUCCCUUGAAAGUCAUUUUAUCUACGUCAGUUACCUUGACUGGAAAAACACAAGCAAAGAAAGAGCACACCCUUCUUAAAGCAAUAGGUAUCACUCAAUAAAGGGCACAUUUUUUAUCCUUCCUCAGGUCUGAAACAGAAGCAGCAGACUUGAAGGUUACACCCAAGCUGCUCAGUAUUGCAUUAGGUGUGUACUAGUGAGGUCACCUCUGCAGGAAAAGGUGUCUGAUACCUGUGAUAGAGAGGAGAGAAGAGAGAAGUGGAAGGGGAUGUCUCAGAAGGGAGGGAGAUCAGUGUCUCCUGAUGAGGAGGGUUGUAAUGGCUGCAGCUUUCCCUGCCUGGAAGUGAAAAGCACCUUCAGGCCAGGCCUGCAGGGAUAACAUGUUAGCCCGCUCUGUUUUCUCCUCCAGACCUUGCUGUCACAUACAGGCUUUGACAAAACAGAAGCAAGGCAGGCUAGAAAACUUCCUCAGAAAUAGAAAAGUCAAGAAGUGUUCUACUCAGAAAAAGGCUUCCCAAGGCUGGUGACGUACUUCAAGAUAGUGAGUGAUCGACCUCAACAGCAGAAGGGAAAAAAACAACAAAACUAUCUGUUCUUCCCUCUGGCAGGCUCCAGUGCCUUGGGAGACGGCUCUGCUGACUCAUUCAGAAAGCAGUUUUCAAAACACGACUCCUUCUCUUGUAUCUAGACAGCUCUUUUCCCAGAGAACAGCAGCCCACCUGCCCCAGUCAGCAAAGGCAGGCUGGGAAACCUGCCCUCCUCCUGCUCUUGACUGGCCUCUGGCACCCUCCACUCCUUGGCCUGCACUUCAUUCUCAAAAGCCCAAUUCCAUAAAAAGCUGGGGUCUGAUGUUUGGAAGUUGCUCUGAUGUGAUGUUCAUCUCCUGUGCUCUAGGGUAGCAAGCCAUGAAAACCAGUAAAUAAAUAGCUAUUAAAAUACAAGGAACAUUAAACAAAAGACAUUGCUGGUUCCAUUUUUCUUCUGUUAAACAACUGGUUUCUUCUAUAUGAAGACAGGAGCCUGGUGCAAGAUAACUGCCUGCUUUAAACACAUAAAUUCUCUCCCAGGAGAUGGGUCUGUGCUGGUCCCUCUGCAGGCUCUGUAUAUUCAGAUGUUCUUGUGCUGCUGUGGGAGGCAGGGUGCUGACAGCAUGGCAUGUUGGAUGGCCCUUUUAGUCUGAACAAAUCAGGAAUCCUUUAUCUAGUUCCUAGCCAGAGGACAUCACUAUGUCUAUUUUGUAGGUGCUAAGGAGUUUUUUCGGCUUGUGGGCAGAUCAGGGAAAGCUACUGGGUCAAUCAGAGUAUCAAGAUGGCUGCGUAGGAGGACAACCCAAACAGGGCCACAUUUCCUCAGAGAUCUCUCUUUGAUACCAGAACUCUUUCCACAGAGAACUUUUAGUGCUGGCAUGAUUGCAUCCUUCCCCCAAGCUGUGGUUGUGGUGGCUGUGUGGGGAAAAAGUAGAAUUUUAUUCACAUAGCUCGUGGCAGGGCUCAGUCGGUCCUGAAGAAGUGAUCUGUGCUGGAGAAAGGAGCAACUCCUCAAGGUUUUCCCCACAAAUUGCCAUGACUUUGAUCCAGCUGGAAUCCAGCUAGCAUCAGUAGCAUAAUUCUCUGAGCAACAUCACAGUGGUGAAACUGAUAGGAAAUAGGAGAGCUUCCUGUGGGAGCUGCUUGGUGGCAGCCUGGGUGAAAGAGAGGAUGCACAGUAGUUGCCUCAUCUGAGUGGCAUAAGCAGGCUCUUGUGAGCGGAUGUGCAAAGCAUUUUAUCCCUAGUCUGCUUCCCAGGAAGUCAAUUAUUCUUCCCCACUUUGCAGGGGGCAGGCAGCACAUGCAGUUUCUGUAGACAAACAAGGGGCUGGUGAGCAAAGAGGACCUGGGGCCUGGGCAUCUGUUUUACAGGAGAUUGGAUCAGAUCUGAGGGCUGGGACUGGCUCAUCUGCCUUCCUGGCUGGUGACAGCUGACAGCUGUGGAAGACAGAGGGAGAGGGAGGCUUGAUGUGAAAAGAAAGGGAGCUAGAAUUGCAAAAACACACUGAUGAUGGUUUUGCUCGGAGAAUUCCAAUUCCAAAUCUACAUGUGAUGAAUUAAAACCUGAAAUGGUGUUUAGCAAACGCUGCUUGCCAGGCCAAAUUAGCAGCCUCAUUUGUUGCCAGUGGCAGCUCUUUAAAACUCUUAAAGAUGGGCUCCUUUUAAAAUGUGGCAUAAAUAGGAUGUUUUCUCAACAGUAGCAUUUCCUCGCUUGAGCAUCGC